CGUCUACAGCGUUUGAAUUUCUUAGGCGGGACGAUGGUAUAUUUUUUUUUUAAAAAUUAAUUCAAAAUUAUUGUUACUUUUUUGGAUUAUAAAGCAAAAUAGUAAAAACAAUUAAAUAUAUUAAUUGUUAGUCAAAUCGAAAUUCGUACGAUGAGAACUAAACAAUUUCCACUGUAUAAACUCCGGAAGAGGCGAAGAUUUAGACCAGGUGCCUUUAUUAAGUACAAGCGUUUAGUGCCCGUGGCACCAGCUAAAAAAUGUGUUUGUACUAGGUGUAAGACGGAUUAUCGCAGAAAAGAUUAUUUGCAUUUUAUUAACCGAUAUUUACCACACUUGUAUUUAUCUCUAUAUCAACGUUUAUAGACGUUGAUAUCUCUGUUUUGGACAUUAAAUACAUUGAAGCUGAUAAUCUCUAUGCUUGGUUGAAUUAAAUUAAUAUACCACCAUGACUAUAUAGAGACAAUAUAUUUUUAAAUCCGUUGUUAAUAUUAAGACAAGAAGGUAAAAUUUUUUUAAAAACCGAAAGUGGAGAAGACUGGACAA